CCUGCCGGACCUGACUGCUAUCGGAUUGAUACUAAGCCAUGCGAGUCUUUGUAGUAAUACAAGGCAUACGGCUCAGUAACACGUAGUCAACCUACCCUAUGGACAAGAAUAAUCUCGGGAAACUGGGCAUAAUUCUUGAUAGAUCAUAAUGCCUGGAAUGGUUUAUGGUUAAAAUGAUUCGUCGCCAUAGGAUGGGACUGCGGCCUAUCAGCUUGUUGGUGAGGUAAUGGCCCACCAAGGCGAUUACAGGUACGGGCUCUGAGAGGAGAAGCCCGGAGAUGGGUACUGAGACACGGACCCAGGCCCUAUGGGGCGCAGCAGGCGAGAAAACUUUGCAAUGUGCGAAAGCACGACAAGGUUAAUCCGAGUGAUUUCUGCUAAAGAAAUCUUUUGCCAGUCAUAAAACCACUGGUGAAUAAGGGGUGGGCAAGUUCUGGUGUCAGCCGCCGCGGUAAAACCAGCACCUCAAGUGGUCAGGAUGAUUAUUGGGCCUAAAGCAUCCGUAGCCGGCUUUGUAAGUUUUCGGUUAAAUCCAUGUGCUCAACGCAUGGGCUGCCGAAAAUACUGCAUGGCUAGGGAGUGGGAGAGGUAGACGGUACUCAGUAGGAAGGGGUAAAAUCCUUUGAUCUAUUGAUGACCACCUGUGGCGAAGGCGGUCUACCAGAACACGUUCGACGGUGAGGGAUGAAAGCUGGGGGAGCAAACCGGAUUAGAUACCCGGGUAGUCCCAGCUGUAAACGAUGCAGACUCGAUGAUGCAUUGGCAUAAUAGCCAGUGCAGUGUCGCAGGGAAGCCGUUAAGUCUGCCGCCUGGGAAGUACGUACGCAAGUAUGAAACUUAAAG
rnacentral:rRNA from 1 species